CAUCCUUUGGAAACAUCCUCUAAGAGGCUCAAAUCCUCUUGUGCCUAACACCGAAAGGAU
rnacentral:tRNA from 1 species